CCGCGAAUUCGCCCUUAGGGUUUGAUCAUGGCUCAGAUUGAACGCUGGCGGCAGGCCUAACACAUGCAAGUCGAGCGGUAGCACAGGAGAGCUUGCUCUCUGGGUGACGAGCGGCGGACGGGUGAGUAAUGUCUGGGAAACUGCCCGAUGGAGGGGGAUAACCACUGGAAACGGUGGCUAAUACCGCAUAACGUCUACGGACCAAAGAGGGGGACCUUCGGGCCUCUUGCCAUCGGAUGUGCCCAGAUGGGAUUAGCUAGUAGGUGGGGUAACGGCUCACCUAGGCGACGAUCCCUAGCUGGUCUGAGAGGAUGACCAGCCACACUGGAACUGAGACACGGUCCAGACUCCUACGGGAGGCAGCAGUGGGGAAUACUGCACAAUGGGCGCAAGCCUGAUGCAGCCAUGCCGCGUGUGUGAAGAAGGCCUUCGGGUUGUAAAGCACUUUCAGCGAGGAGGAAGGCCAAUAACUUAAUACGUUGUUGGAUUGACGUUACUCGCAGAAGAAGCACCGGCUAACUCCGUGCCAGCAGCCGCGGUAAUACGGAGGGUGCAAGCGUUAAUCGGAAUUACUGGGCGUAAAGCGCACGCAGGCGGUUUGUUAAGUC
rnacentral:rRNA from 1 species